rnacentral:rRNA from 1 species
GAUGAACGCUGGCGGCGUGCCUAAUACAUGCAAGUCGAGCGAACAGACGAGGAGCUUGCUCCUCUGACGUUAGCGGCGGACGGGUGAGUAACACGUGGAUAACCUACCUAUAAGACUGGGAUAACUUCGGGAAACCGGAGCUAAUACCGGAUAAUAUAUUGAACCGCAUGGUUCAAUAGUGAAAGACGGUUUUGCUGUCACUUAUAGAUGGAUCCGCGCCGCAUUAGCUAGUUGGUAAGGUAACGGCUUACCAAGGCAACGAUGGGUAGCCGACCUGAGAGGGUGAUCGGACACACUGGAACUGAGACACGGUCCAGACUCCUACGGGAGGCAGCAGUAGGGAAUCUUCCGCAAUGGGGGAGAGCCUGACGGGGCAACGCCGCGUGAGUGAUGAAGGUCUUCGGAUCGUAAAACUCUGUUAUUAGGGAAGAACAAAUGUGUAAGUAACUAUGCACGUCUUGACGGUACCUAAUCAGAAAGCCACGGCUAACUACGUG